UCAUUUUUACUUUCUCUCUCUUCAUUUCAUUUUCUCUCUCUCCCUCUGAAUUCUCUCUAAUUCUCUCUCUUGCUUCGAAUUUUUCUGCGCUCUUAUCGUCGUUGGAUUUGCUUUUCUUCUUCGCUUUUUUUUCAUUGCAAAUUGAUACUGGACAACUUAGCUAUUUGAGCAACUAAGAACUAUCGGGAACCCCCAGUGAGAUAAGACAAAUGAUAUCAUCAAUGUUUUGUGCUUAUGAUGUCUUGUGAUUGCUCAACAUUGACAAAGCACUCAUGGAGUUAUGGUGCAGAAAAAAAAACCGACUGUUACCCAGGCAGUUCCUCUCAUUAGAUUAGAUUUCAGAAUAUGGUAAAAUUCCGUACUUAUGUAGCACAAUGUGUGGAAAUUUCUUGUUAAAAAUCUAUAGUAAGAUGUUAUGCACAACCGAACAUCAUAAAUAAACGUUUCUUCUCUUUUUCAAGGGCACUUUAGGGGACAAGAGUACCAAUUAGUGUUAUGGUGUGAUUGUCUGUGAUCAAUUGAAGGUCUAUACCCUCUCAAGUUUCCAUUAGUAGAUUCUCAUGAAACAUGGAUCACUCGUCUCUCUAGAACCUCCAAGGCUUCUAAACUGGAAAUUUCAUCUGGUCUUAGCAACUGAUUUUGAAGUUGCUGAUGUUGUCUUUGCUCAUUUUAUUAUUGUCAACUUUAUAUACACUAGCUUUCUAGCUCAAGAGGUAGAGUAUUGUGCAAAUGCACAAAAGAUGUGGGUUCGAAUCCCAUAUAAAUUCAUUUGUAUUUACUUUAAGAGAUAUUUUAUUUACUUCAACUUAUUUUGUAUCUACUUUUAUUACUUACAAACUCAAGCUUACUUAUCCAA